GGAUUAUCAGUAGCCAGAUCAACGGACAGUUAAUCCGUAGGUCGAAGGUUCGAGUCCUUCC
rnacentral:tRNA from 1 species